GGCUUGUCAUCCUUUGGCUGCAUGUGCUCGCCCCAGCAAUCCUUUUCCAAACACCUGUGCACCUUCCUUGUGAGAAUGGGAGAGAAAGGGCUUGUCUCUUUUAUCUCAUCUCAUGAUUCAUAAACGCUGUUCGUAAUGUUGAAUGCAUUUAUGCCGUCAAGGCUUUAACCUAAUACAACUUUUGACAACGGAUCUCUUGGCUCUCGCAUCGAUGAAGAACGCAGCGAAAUGCGAUAAGUAAUGUGAAUUGCAGAAUUCAGUGAAUCAUCGAAUCUUUGAACGCACCUUGCGCUCCCUGGUAUUCCGGGGAGCACGCCUGUUCGAGUGUCGUGAAACUAUCAAGCCAGGAUGCUUCCUGGUCUUGGUUUAUUGGGCUUUGCCGUGCCCCUUCAUUGGGAACGGCUGGCCUUAAAAGCAUUAGCUGACUCCAUGUGGUUAUUGGUAUUCUACUUGGCGUGAUAAUAAUCUGACCGCUGAGAAAGUGUCCUUUCGGGGAUGGCCAAUUUUCAUGUGGGGUUGCUCCUAAUCUCUGGAGCUUUCAUG
rnacentral:rRNA from 1 species